CCUACGGUGUGCAGCAGUGAGGCAUAUUGGUCAAUGGGCGCGAGCCUGAACCAGCCAAGUAUCGUGAAGGAUGACUGCCCUACGUGUUGUAAACUUCUUUUAUACAUGAAUAAAGUGAGGCCCGUGUGCCUUUUUGUAUGUACUUUAUGAAUAAGGAUCGGCUAACUCCGUGCCAGCAGCCGCGGUAAUACGGAGGAUCCGAGCGUUCUCCGGAUUUAUUGGGUGUAAAGGGAGCGUAGAUGGGUUUUUAAGUCAGUUGUGAAAGUUUGCGGCUCAACCGUAAAAUUGCAAUUGAUACUGGCAGUCUUGAGUGCAGUUGAGGUAGGCGGAAUUCGUGGUGUAGCGGUGAAAUGCUUAGAUAUCACGAAGAACUCCGAUUGCGAAGGCAGCUUACUAAACUGCAACUGACAUUGAUGCUCGAAAGUGUGGGUAGCAAACAGGAUUAGAUACCCUGGUAGUC
rnacentral:rRNA from 1 species